rnacentral:rRNA from 1 species
UACGGAGGGUGCGAGCGUUGUCCGGAAUCACUGGGCGUAAAGGGCGCGUAGGCGGCGCGGGGAGUCAACGGUGAAAGCUCGGCGCUCAACGCCGAGUCGGCCGUCGAUACUCCCGUGCUCGAGCACUGUAGAGGCAGGUGGAAUUCCGGGUGUAGCGGUGGAAUGCGUAGAGAUCCGGAAGAACACCGGUGGCGAAGGCGGC